rnacentral:lncRNA from 1 species
UAAGAAAAUGCAUACAGCUCUCCCUCAGCAAACAACAAUUACUGCUUACAGCUUUUCUGGAAACAGUAACAAUGCCAGGAAGGACAGAAGGAAUUGAGCUUUGCACUCAAAUAAACACACUCCCUCCCUUUCGAAGUUGCCUCUGAACUGCUCAGGAAGAGAAACAGCAAGCAACAUUUUCUAAUAUGAGCAGCAAGGACAUCGCUCCUCAGGAAGAGAAAAAGAUGUUCCAACUGCCUUGACUUCAGCCUGGUGGAUGCAUUGUCAUUCAAUGAGGCUGAAGCAGGAGGAUUGCUGUGAGUUCAAGGCUCAGCAUGGGUUGCAUAGUGAGUUGCAGACCAGCCUGAGGUACCAGAUUCUACUACUCCCAACAGUGCCUAACUGGAGGCCAGAAUUUGCCAACUGUGCCUUUUGGG